AGCAGUCUGGCCGAGCGGUCCUAGGCGCUAGCUUCGGGCUCUACAGCGUAAGAGCGCGAGUUCGAAUCUCGGAGCUGUUA
rnacentral:tRNA from 1 species